rnacentral:ncRNA from 3 species
CUCUUAUCUAGAGCGGCGGAGGGAAUAGGCCCGAUGAAGCCCGGCAACCUGCAAUCAUGAAAGGUGCCAAUUCCUACAGAUCGAUGGUGAUCUGGAAGAUAAGGG